GGAGUAAUAGUUCAGUGGUAGAGCAUAUGCUUAGCAUGCCUGAGGUCCUGGGUUCAAUCCCCAGUACUUCCA
rnacentral:tRNA from 1 species